rnacentral:rRNA from 1 species
CCUACGGGAGGCAGCAGUGGGGAAUCUUGCGCAAUGGGGGGAACCCUGACGCAGCGACGCCGCGUGCGGGACGGAGGCCUUCGGGUCGUAAACCGCUUUCAGCAGGGAAGAGUCAAGACUGUACCUGCAGAAGAAGCCCCGGCUAACUACGUGCCAGCAG